GAUGAAGAACGUAGCGAAAUGCGAUACGUAAUGUGAAUUGCAAAUUCAGUGAAUCAUCGAGUCUUUGAACGCACAUUGCGCCCGCUGGUAUUCCGGCGGGCAUGCCUGUUCGAGCGUCAUUUCAACCCUCAAGCCCCCGGGUUUGGUGUUGGGGAUCGGCUCUGCCCUUCUGGGCGGUGCCGCCCCCGAAAUACAUUGGCGGUCUCGCUGCAGCCUCCAUUGCGUAGUAGCUAACACCUCGCAACUGGAACGCGGCGCGGCCAUGCCGUAAAACCCCAACUUCUGAAUGUUGACCUCGGAUCAGGUAGGAAUACCCGCUGAACUUAAGCAUAUCAAUAAGCGGAGGA
rnacentral:misc_RNA from 1 species